AUGAUACCUUGGGGACCUAGUAGAAGUUAUCUAACUUGUGUCAGCCUCUGUGUACACCGCCAAAAACAUGAAUAAUGCCUCCUGCUUUAUAGACAUGUUGUGGAAAAUGAAUCAGCUGAUUUUCACAAAUCCCCUAGACUGCUGCUUCUCAAACUGUCUGCGGUGAACGACAAGUAUUUGUUGUUUUCCAAGCCAGGCACUCAUGGACCAAUACAUUUGUACGAUGCAAGGAAAAUGAAUUAAUAGAAAGAAGAAAAAUGGCAAAGACACACAAAGUGCAAGCCUCGAUUUUUUAAAACAUCAUAGAGACUCUCACCAUAGACGAUAGAACUUUCUAAACAUGUACUCUCAAAUUAUGUACUUACCGCAGAUUGGUGACACAAUUUUGCGAGGCAGCAAGUGUCCACAGACUGCAAUUUCAUCUGUUCUGCUCUGGCACGGUGCCUAGCCCAUCAGAGACAUUCAAUCAGUGGUUGCUAUUUCAAGGGAAUUAUUACAAAAUAUGGUUCUUAUCAUGAAGGAGAUUAAAUAAGAAGAAAUUGCAAGUAAAAAGAAGAAGAAAUACCAAAUUAUUCGAUUGCUGACAGAGUGUCAAGAGAGUUGUAUGAACAAGAAGCAGUACAGGAGUUCAAAAGGAAGAUAUCACAGCGGCCAAGACUUCCGCUGGGCCUUGACAGUCAAGGAAAGAUGGAACUUACUUUGUAGCUUUUUGUACUUUGUGAUUGUAGGAAAGCUUCGUGAUUCUUGCACACAUUUCUGCGAGCCCUGAAAGUAUAGUGUUCAGGAAAUAUUUAGCCUUAAUCCCACCAUCCAGAGGUUAUCUGUGCUAACAUUUGUGUGUACUCUUUCAAUGCAUAGUCAGGAAGAUGACAACGAAUAUGAUACAAAUUAUAACAACUAUAUAUAUGUAUACACACACACACACACACACACAUAUAUAUAUACUUAAUGCUAGACACACAUAUAUUUGUAAACAUUUACAUCAGUUUUCUGUAUAUCGGUACAAACAUGUACAGUGACUCAGAGCCCCCCUCUAUUAUCACUGUUGAUCUCACAGCCCCCUUGGCAAAAAUUCCCAUACUUGUUGUGUCUGGGAGUCCCAAAAGGGUGACACAAAUUGCUAUCGAGACCUAUCUGUUCACUAUAGUCUCCAACAAGCAAUCUGGAAGUGCCCUGAGAGAGCUUCAAUGGAGCCUCCAAGUAAGACGAUGACCCUCAUGAUGUCGACAUUGCCCCCAAGCAGUUCGCACAGCUGCCAGGGCCCACGUGCCAGAGCCAAGCUGCAUUCUGUGCAGAGGUGCGUGACAUGUCCCUAUCUCUAACCCUGUACAAAAACGUGGACUUUGAAGCAGCUCCGCCAAACCCACACUGCCCCUCUCAGGAUACCAGUCCCCCUCACCUCCUUCCCUCCUAUCAUGGUUAUCUGCAAACAAGUCCCCAGUCUCCAAUACAAUGCACCAAGUACUUGGAAGCUCUCAAACCCUGAUCUGGGCAGUUUACAGCAUACACACACACACACACACACACUUGUACUCUCACACAUACACACAUUAAUGCAUUGCUGAGGAGGAACUGCCUAGUAGGGGAGAGAACCGUUAUCACAGCUGCCCCUCUUCUAUGUGCAUCCGGGGCAGUUCAGAGGAGCUGGCUGCUCCUGAACUCUGGUCUCCACACCCUUGUCGUGGGGGAAUUCCCUCUCUCCUCAGGUCAUACAGGACAAAAUUAUGAUUUGUCUCAAGGGACUGUACUAAGGGGCAAAAUGAAAGACCAAACAAUAAGCAAAAUAAGACCCUACAAACAUCAGGAUAGAACUGCUCUUUGACCCAAGGCUGAUCACCAAAGUCAGUCCACACAUCACCUCAGGCCGAUGAACAUCUCAGCCACGCAGACCCCGGAGCUUGGCUUGGGGCUAGUCCACGCAAGUUUGACCCUCAGGCUGUGGCAAGUGGAAGGUGUCACCACAGCCCAGCCUGCCAGGGGAUCUCCUUUGCCUCAGAACCUGUUUCCUUUUCUGCUCUCUGGUAGGAUCCACCCUCCUCCCAUGCACCUUGGCGACAGCACCUCUUCCUGUUGUUCUCUGGCCACAUCUGACCUUUCAUCUGGGCUGCCCCUCUCACCGCAGUCCCUGAGGCAGCUCACAGAAGCCAGGGUACCAUGGGCCACUCUAGCACCCUCAAGUUUACUCCUGACAUGGUUGCUCUGUGCUCUCACUCCUGGAAGCCUGUCUGACUACUCCUAUUUUUGCAUGCUUCUCUGACCCUCCUGCCCUCUCUGCUGUCCCUUCCUCUUUCAACAGCUCCAGCUCUCAUUCUCAGUUCAUUGACAGAGGAGUUCUGACAAGCAUGUCCUGGGCCCCCAAAGUGAUAAAGUCUCCCUCCCCCCAGCAGGUGACAACUCCACUUUGUCUCCCAAUUCAUACAGAAAGACAUCAACCUCUCCCUAAAGGUGUGCACACAUACCCGUAUACCCACAGACAGCUGCCUCACACCUCCUGUUCAGACUCUCCCAGAUGGGACAUCACCCCAGUCUUCACUUCUGAGUGUGUGCUUAUUGGCUUACAUUCCAAGGCAGACAGACACACACUCAAGUGUACAUUCACAAUCAGGUGCCCACUCACCAUAUGUACACCCCAUAAACACACCACAUACACUUCCACACUUGCAAACGUAUCUAAUAAUGCAUAGGCACCUUAGAGGCACGCAUGCCACACACAAGUACACAAAUAUAUACGUGGGUACACACAAGGAGAGAGAAAAUCUCAGAGCGGGGUAUGGUGCCCAGAAAUAUGCGUAAAUGCACACAUGUGCACAUACCUAGAAACUAACACACAUUACAAAAACAGGGACACUCAUUAAGACAAACACACACGCAUAUAUGUGCGUGCACACACACACACAAGAAGGAGAAGCAAGUUGUGUCUACCAAAACUAUCCAAAUUUUGCGAAAGAAAGAAAGUUAGAGAUGCAUUUCUAAGCCUCUGCGUCUUACCUUCCCAGGCCUAGAAUACAUAGAUAUGAAGCUAAUGAUGUGACAGGCUUUCUCUCACUCUCUCUCUCACAAACACACACGAGCACGCACGAAGACACACACACCCACCCAUGCUCAAACACACACACAUUUACUCUUUCUCUCACACACACAUACACAUGCACACACACACAACUUCCUCAGAAAUGGUAGAGCGGGAAAGUUGACGGUGGGAAACAUGGUUCCAGAUCCUGAGCAGCAGUUACUGUGAGUAGGUGGCACCUACCGCCUCUCCAGAGCCCUGGAGCACAAAAGAACUCAGUUCUUGACACCCAGCCUGGACAGCUCGAAAGGUCAGAGACAUGCCAGCCUGCUUCUCAGCUCCUUCUGUUGGCUGUUCCCUGAUUCCUCUCCCUGCUGUGAGACCUCCCUCCACCCUGGCACAGCCCCCUUGAAACGCAGCUGCGAAGAGAAAGCAGACAUACCUGCUGUUCUCUCCAAACGCUAGUGUCAAGGAUCCUGUCUCAGAAAGAAGAAGAGUGCACGCGUGCAAGGUGCGAUGAAGGAGUACAAACAACCUACACGCCAGGACAGGGAAUAGGAAAUCAGCAUGCAAGGCAGCAGACAGGUAUCUGGGAGGAAAAAGAGGAGUGAGGAAGGACGGCAGUGGAAUCCCACCCUGAGACACCGAGCUGCCAACACAGCGAAGAUUUCCUCAGAACUCCCAAAGGAUCUCCCAGCUCCCUCUUCCUCCCGCCAGCUCUGUAAAAUAGGAUUGAUUCCCUGAGAAAACCUCAGUCCAUGACGUGCCGACCUUUGAUAUGAGGCUCGGGACCUGUAGCUAACAAAUACAUAGACUGAAAUCUCCUGAAGAACGUCAACAGCAGAGGGCCCUCAACACAGGGUCCUGGUCAUCCAGCUCAUGCUGCCUGCAGAGGAGGAACGGCCCCCUCUUUCCCCUCACCAUGUGGCUAAUACACCCAAAGCCCUCUGCCCUUUCUCUGUAGAUUCCCACAGGGCAGGGUACAGAACUCCAGCGGUUGGGAGUGGGGCUGCCCAGACCCUGAGGCUCAAGGAUCAGGAAAACCGUGAUGCCCGAUAUUUCCCAGCCAUGCUUCUAAUCAGGACCCGUUUGCCUCUCCCAGUCCUGGCAAGAAGUGUGUGGAUCAGUGAUGAGAUUAUGUGAGAAUAACACCAGGAAUUAGAUUUUGAAAAAAAUGCCUCUGAAUUAUCAGUUUUAAGAAAAUUGUCAGAACUGGGCAAUGCAGGAGAGUGGAAGAAACUGCACCUACAGCAGGGACCCAGUUAGACUUCUAUGCUAGAGUUUUUAGCCUACAGUCUAUCCACAUCAGCAUCCGUGUCCCCACAUGUGUGCUGAAAACAGUUCCAUGAGCGCAGUUGGCACCAAAGUGGAGAUGGGAAAGCAACGGGGGAACUAAUGGGAUGCACCAUAUAUACCAUGGCCCAGAACCCAUGGACUGCAGUAGCCUUCCCCUUCCACUGCACCUUACUGUGAAUUGCUUUGUUGGAGGGAGGACUCACCAGCCAAAAGUCAUGUUCAUGGCUUUUGGGCGCCAAUGGUGCUAGCAAACUCAGGGGCUGUCGUGUCCCUCUCCUAAGGCAGAGAAGUCAAGGUUGGACUGGCUGCUGUGAGCUCCUUCACCAUAUCUAUGCCCAAUCCCACUCCAGCUCUAGCAGGCCUUAUUAAGAGGUUGCUCAUCUCUUAAUAAGGAUAUGGAUAGGAAACAGCAAUAUUUCCCUUUCCCACAUGAUCAAGAGUGUGGAACUUGUUGCCAGUGAGUGGUGCUUGGGAAUGGAGGACGACGGCCACCCAUCCUCAGACUGGCAGAGUCAACCAGGAGGCCGUCAAGUAUGGUACUAAAGGUGGACAGAGGAUGACUACUUGCAUUUCAUGAUUAAAGAUUCUUCGGGCUCUUCCAGUUCGGCUGCUUCAUUUCAGGCAAUUAUUGGGUCAAUUCUAAGUUCUACUUACUUCUCCUUCUCCUCUAUAAAAUGAUGUCUGGGGAUUGGAAGAAAGGGUGAGGCUUAAGUGAUAUCAUGGCGGCCGUACAGAGGCGUCCUCAGUCUGAGUGCUAUUCUUUGGAUUCUGCUUAUGUGGCCAUGCAACUUGAACGAUGAUUUCUUACUGGACUGUUCUCUUGCUAGACUUAUGGAUCCCCUUGAGAUUUGGUUGCAACUCAGAGUCGACUCCAAUGUGGGUAACCAGGGUAACGUUUGCCCCAACAAUGGUCACUGAUCAUUUUUCAUUAUACAUCGUACUGGGUUGAACAGUGUGCCCCCAAGAUUCAUGUCUACCCGGAACCUCAGAAUGUGACUUUAUCUGGAAAUAGGGUCUUUGCAUAAUGUAAUUAGUUAUGAUGAGGCCAUAUUGGAUUAGAGUGGACCCUAAAUCCAAUGUGUCUUCAUAAAAAAUAGAGAACACACAGAGACACAGACUCAUGUGGAGGAGCAUGCUAUGCGAAGAUGGAGGCAGAGAUUGGAGUGAUGCAUCUACAAGCCAAGGAACAUCAAGGAUUGCCACAACCACCGGAGGCUAGGAAGAGGCAAGGAAGGAUCCUCCCCUAGAGGCUUCAGAGGGAGCGUGGCCCUGACAACACCUUGCUUCAGAACUGUGAGAGAAUACGUUUCUGUUGUUCUCAACCACCCAGUUUGUGGUAAUUUGUUACAGCAGCCCUGAGAAUCUGAUACAUGCACCAGUAAUAAAAGAUUUUUGAGCACACAUCUCCAAUAGAUGUAUAUUUCUUAAUUUACAAAUUAUGUACUGGUGACACUGUAUUCGUAUGCAAUGGUCCUCAUGAAACAUACACUAAACUUAGAAAUUUAAAAGGAUGUGAUAAAAAAAUAAAUAUGCUCAGAAUUUC